rnacentral:misc_RNA from 1 species
AACGCACAUUGCGCCCCCUGGUAUUCCGGGGGGCAUGCCUGUCCGAGCGUCAUUACUGCCCUCAAGCCCGGCUUGUAUUGGGUCCUCGUCCCCCCCGGGGGACGGGCCCGAAAGGCAGCGGCGGCACCGCGUCCGGUCCUCGAGCGUAUGGGGCUUUGUCACCCGCUCUGUAGGCCCGGCCGGCGCCAGCCCACGCAGAUCAUCCUUUUUUUUCAGGUUGACCUCGGAUCAGGUAGGGAUACCCGCUGAACUUAA